AAUAAACAAAACAUAGUAUUUUUGCAACAUAAAGUGAUCAAUACAUUUCUAUUUGUUGCAAGCCUAGGAUAAAAAAUAUGGCUAAAACUAUUAAGUUUGUUUAUUUAAUGAUCCUCUUUAUUUGUUUUUUUCUUGUUGUAAUUGAUGUUAAUGGUAAGCACUUUUUUUUAUUCUUUUGAACUUUCUUGUUAUCUUAUACAAAAUAAUUCAUCAUUUUUUGCUAAUAUUGAUUUCUUAAAUUUUAUAUAUAUUACAGCACAACGGAGGCCAAGGUGCAAGGAGAAUUCUGAUUGUUCUGAGUUUCCUUGUGUACUUCCUAUGACUCCAAAAUGUGUCGCAUUUAAAUGUAGAUGUCGUCUCGAUUAAAAGUAAACUUGAUUAUAAAAGAUUGAUCCAUAUUGUCAGGGGCGGAGCCAGGAAUUUAAACUUGGGGGGACCAAGUCCAACAAGUAUAAUUCAGUAGAGAAAUAUAUUAUGUCAAAAGACAAAAAACACUUAAAAAAAAUUUAAAAACACUUAAAAAUAAAUUCAUUUUGAUACACUUUGGUACUUCAGAAUUUAGUUGGAUUUGAUAUUAUAGAUUAAAUUCAAUGUCAUGCCAUAUUUU
rnacentral:lncRNA from 1 species